CCGACCGAAUUGCCUCUAAAGUAUCGAGAAUUGAAAAAUGCCUCGCCAUUCAAUACCCAAUUUGAAUAGCUAAGGAGUGAAUCUCAUUAGCGUCAAUGAGC